CACUUUGACAUUUGACAUGUCAAAUUAAAGAUCAUUGCAACACAAAAAUGCAAUAUUCAAGCUUUUUAAAAUUUCCGGAAGUAUUGAAAUGCACUUUAGACCGAUAAGUCAGUACCUAGUCAAAAGGAAUUUGAGCAAAUCGGUUUUAAAACAUCAAAGCCGAACUGCGGGAAUUAUAAUUAUUGGAGAUGAAAUUCUUAAAGGAGAGGUAACUGACACUAAUUCUACAUAUCUAGUCAAACAGCUUUACCAACUUGGUGUUCGUGUUAGAAAGUUGUAAGUGAUGAUAUAAAACAGAUAAGUGAAGAAGUUCGAUCAUUUUCGGAUAAUUACACCUAUGUUAUAACAUCGGGAGGAAUAGGACCAACACAUGAUGAUGUUACAUUUGAGGCUAUUGGAUACGCUUUUAGAGAACCUUUAAUUGCACAUCCAAUUCUAGUUGAUAUUUGUAGUAAAUAUUAUGGUACAAAGGAUUUGGAUAGUCCAGGAAUGAAAUUAGCACAUAUUCCAAAAGGUGCUAAAUUAAUGUUUGGGGAAGCAAAAACUUCAUAUCCAAAUAUAUCAGUUAAAAAUGUGUACAUUUUUCCUGGUAUUCCACAAUUACUAAGGAAACUAUUCGAACAAAUUGGACAUAAAAUUUUCACAUCACACGAAAAGUUUUAUACAAAAGCUAUUUAUUUUAAUGUUACUGAAAAAUUAAUUGUAGAUGUUUUAAACAUUUUAGUGAAGAAAUUUCCAACUGUUAUAUUUGGCUCCUAUCCAGAACUUGAAAACAGCCAAUAUAAAGUGAAAAUAACAAUGGAAUGUACAAAUGAAGAAAAGCUUCAAAUUGCCUAUAACACAAUGAUUAAUAUGAUGCCCUCAGAGUAUAUCGUGAAUGCUUGAUUUUAUUAAAAUACAACAAUAAACUUAUAUAUCCAAUAA